UAAAGCCGACAGAUUUCGAAC
rnacentral:piRNA from 1 species